UGGAUCUCACAUUCAGAAUGUAUAUUUCAUGUUUGCAUGUUGAAAUGUAUUUUACUUCUAUAGGGAAUUUCUGCAAUUCCACCAUCAUUGGUCCUUUUUCCUUCCUAAGAACACCGGUUGGCUGGUCUGCUUAUUCAGAAGAGUUGUGUGAUGAGAAGACAACCAGUGAAGCCUCAGCAAGAUGUUUGAAUGACACCGGCUCUCCAAUGUUUGGUCCCCCUCACAUUCUGCAGUGUGAAGUAACCCUCAGUGACAUUCAAGGAAAUAUCUCUAGCAGUUCAGGUGAUUUACUACAGUUAGCCUUCAGUACUCAGAUCCUGACCAACCAUAAACAUCAGCUGUCAGCUGACAACAUCACCACAGCAGCUCAGAUCGCUAACACACUGCUUAAGUCUGCAAAUAUCACAGAGGUAUAAGAUGUUUUGAAAUCAAGUCAUGAACUAUGCCA
rnacentral:lncRNA from 1 species